GGGAUCGUUUCGGGUCCUGGGAUCAUUUCGGGUCCUGUACAGGCCCAGCACAAUGCCUGUCCCCGCGAGAGCAAAAGAGAGGUCCCUUCCGUGGGAGGGAGCGUCGAAAUUAGUCUGUACUAAUAUCGAAAAGGUUUUUGCUGUGGUCGAACACGUAGACUAGGGCACAAACAAUGCCCUUAACACCAAAAUCAAAGCAGAAAAAAAUGUACACAAGAAUAUCCGAGCAAGAAAAACUAGUUAGGCACCUUUUUUUACCCUUUCUAAAUCUACGCAGCCACAAGUACACGGGAUGUUUUUGCGCUCGCGGGGACGAGGCAAUUUUGACGGUUGCCAAAUUCAUUGUUGGAAAGCAUAUUACGACAAAAAAAAAAAAAGACGAAUAUUCUGCCGGAUUCCUCUGCAAUGAAAAGUCGUGUGACGCUGAGGUUUGGUCUGGUUGGACUCCAACUGUCUGUGAGGAUGUCGUCGUGAUUUGAGCGCGAUUUAGCUGGAGGAAGUGUAUUUUUGUGCACGGAACGUGAGGGAGAAAUAAAGAGCUUGGUCUACCUUUGGCCCCAGCCGUAGAAAGAGGAGAACUUCGAACGGCGCGACGGCAAGCCCUGGUCACGUGACCACUUAAGGUUCGCGGUCAGCCGGAAAUCGCGAAAAACCUGGAUGUCUCUAAACGACGGUUUGAUGCAAAGGUUUAAUGUCGUUAAAUAAAGACGUCCACUUUGAUGCAAAGGUUAAAUGUCGUUGAAUGAAGACGUCCACUUUGAUGCAAAGGUUUAAUGUCGUUGAAUAAAGACGUCCACUUUGAUGCAAAGGUUUAAUGUCGUUGAAUAAAGACGUCCACUUUGA